rnacentral:rRNA from 1 species
CACAUGCAAGUCGAGGGGCAGCAUGGUCUUAGCUUGCUAAGGCUGAUGGCGACCGGCGCACGGGUGAGUAACACGUAUCCAACCUGCCGUCUACUCUUGGCCAGCCUUCUGAAAGGAAGAUUAAUCCAGGAUGGGAUCAUGAGUUCACAUGUCCGCAUGAUUAAAGGUAUUUUCCGGUAGACGAUGGGGAUGCGUUCCAUUAGAUAGUAGGCGGGGUAACGGCCCACCUAGUCAACGAUGGAUAGGGGUUCUGAGAGGAAGGUCCCCCACAUUGGAACUGAGACACGGUCCAAACUCCUACGGGAGGCAGCAGUGAGGAAUAUUGGUCAAUGGGCGAUGGCCUGAACCAGCCAAGUAGCGUGAAGGAUGACUGCCCUAUGGGUUGUAAACUUCUUUUAUAAAGGAAUAAAGUCGGGUAUGCAUACCCGUUUGCAUGUACUUUAUGAAUAAGGAUCGGCUAACUCCGUGCCAGCAGCCGCGGUAAUACGGAGGAUCCGAGCGUUAUCCGGAUUUAUUGGGUUUAAAGGGAGCGUAGAUGGAUGUUUAAGUCAGUUGUGAAAGUUUGCGGCUCAACCGUAAAAUUGCAGUUGAUACUGGAUGUCUUGAGUGCAGUUGAGGCAGGCGGAAUUCGUGG